rnacentral:rRNA from 1 species
GAUCCUGGCUCAGAGCGAACGUUAGCGGCGGGCCUAACACAUGCAAGUCGAACGAGAAUGUAGGCUUCGGUCUACUAGUAAAGUGGCGGACGGGUGCGUAACACGUGGGUAAUCUACCUUCCGGCGGGGGACAACAGUCCGAAAGGAUUGCUAAUACCGCAUACGUCAGCGGCGCCUACGGGCGCUGUUGGGAAAGAUGGCCUCUCCUUGGAAGCUGUCACCGGAAGAUGAACCCGCGGCCCAUCAGCUCGUUGGCGGGGUAACGGCCCACCAAGGCGACGACGGGUAGCUGGUCUGAGAGGACGAUCAGCCACACUGGAACUGAGACACGGUCCAGACUCCUACGGGAGGCAGCAGUGGGGAAUUUUGCGCAAUGGGCGAAAGCCUGACGCAGCAACGCCGCGUGUGUGAUGAAGGUCUUCGGAUUGUAAAGCACUUUCGACCGGGACGAAAACCCGCUGGCCAAUAUCCAGCGGCUUGACGGUACCGGGAGAAGAAGCACCGGCUAACUCUGUGCCAGCAGCCGCGGUAA